CUCCAUUACGGUCAUCUGCAGCGCCCCGCCACAGCGCCUCCGUGUGGACGGAUGUCGAAUUACACACAGCGGGGGGCGCGCCGUGGUGAGCGGGGGAACAACGGGGGUGAAUGGGGAUCGGGUCCUGGAAGGGGAAUAGUGAGGGUGGAUAUAGUGGGGGUGAAUGGGAUUUGGGUCCUGGAAGGGGAAUAGUGGGGCUGGAUAUAGUGGGUGUGAAUGGGGGUGAAUGGGAUUUGGGUCCUGGAAGGGGAAUAAUGGGGGUGAAUGGGAUUGGGUCCUGGAAGGGGAAUAGUGGGGGUGGAUAUAGUGGGGGUGAAUGGGGAUUGGGUCCUGGAAGGGGAAUAGUGAGGGUGGAUAUAGUGGGGGUGAAUGGGGAUUGGGUCCUGGAAGGGGAAUAAUGGAGGUCCUGUAAGGGGAUAAUGGGGGUGAAAGGGAUUUGGGUCCUGGAAGGGGAAUAGUGAGGGUGGAUAUAGUGGGAGUGAAUGGGGCUUGGGUCCUGGAAGGGGAAUAGUGGGGAUGGAAUAAUGGGCAUAAUGGGGGUGAAUGGGAUUUGGGUCCUGGAAGGGGAAUAGUGGGGGUGAAUGGGGAUUGGGUCCUAGAAGGGGAAUAGUGGGUUCCUGUAAGGGUAUAAUGGGGGUGAAUGGGAUUUGGGUCCUGGAAGGGGAAUAGUUGGGUCCUGGAAGGGAUUAAUGGGACAGAAUGGGAUUUGGGUCCUGGAAGGGGAAUAAUGGGGUCCUAUAAGGGAGUAAUGGUGGCCUGAAUAGUGGGGAUGAGUGGGAUUUGGGUCCUGGAAGGGAAAUAGUGAGAAUGGAUAUAGUGGGGGUGAAUGGGGAUUGGGUCCUGGAAGGGGAAUAGUGAGGGUGGAUAUAGUGGAGGUGAAUGGGGAUUGGGUUCUGGAAGGGGAAUAGUGGGUUCCUGUAAGGGUAUAAUGGGACAGAAUGGGAUUUGGGUCCUGGAAGGGGAACAGUGGUUUCCUAUAAGGCCAUAAUGGGGGUGAAUGGGGAUUGGGUCCUGGAAGGGGAAUAGUGGGGUCCUGGAAGGAGAAUAAUGGGGUCCUGGAAGGGGAUAAUGGGGGCGAAAGGGCNNNNNNNNNNNNNNNNNNNNNNNNNNNNNNNNNNNNNNNNNNNNNNNNNNNNNAGUGAGGGUGGAUAUAGUGGGGGUGAAUUGGAUUUGGGUCCUGGAAGGGGAAUAGUGGGGCUGGAUAUAGUGGGUGUGAAUGGGGGUGAAUGGGAUUUGGGUCCUGGAAGGGGAAUACUGGGAGUGAAUGGGGAUUGGGUCCUGGAAGGGGAAUAGUGAGGGUGGAUAUAGUGGGAGUGAAUGGGACUUGGGUCCUGGAAGGGGAAUAGUGCGGCUGAAUGGGAUUUGGGUCCUGGAAGAGGAAUAGUGUGGCUGAAUGUG
rnacentral:lncRNA from 1 species